rnacentral:lncRNA from 1 species
GAAAGGACCCUUGAGACCCCUCAAGGUUUUGUACCACAAGGAAGAUGUCAGGGAUGUGGCUAGUGAGCUAUCAUUGUUUCCUGGUAAGAGCAUGGAGAUACCGCCUUGGAUUUCCAAUGUCACGACCUAUACCAAUGAAAGGAAAGGAGAAGUGAGUAGUGGAUCCAAGAGGGCUGCGUUCGACGAUGAGAUUGAAAUAAAAGAAUUUGAAGAUCAUCAUGUCAAAAAGGUGGUUGAUCCCAAUCUUCAAGUUUGAAGAAAUCAAUUCCCUAAAGCUGGCAAUCAUUUGGUUGUUUCAACACUUCUUUU